GACGAACGCUGGCGGCGUGCUUAACACAUGCAAGUCGAACGGAAAGGCCCUGCUUUUGUGGGGUGCUCGAGUGGCGAAAGGGUGAGUAACACGUGAGUAACCUGCCCUUUACUUUGGGAUAACUUCAGUAAACUGGGGCUGAUACCGGAUAGGAGCUCCUGCUGCAUGGUAGGGGUUGGAAAGUUUCGGCGGUUGGGGAUGGACUCGCGGCUUAUCAGCUUGUUGGUGGGGUAGUGGCUUACCAAGGCUUUGACGGGUAGCCGGCCUGAGAGGGUGACCGGCCACAUGGGGACUGAGAUACGGCCCAGACUACUACGGGAGGCAGCAGUGGGGAAUAUUGCACAAUGGGCGGAAGCCGGAUGCAGCAACGCCGCGUGCGGGAUGACGGCCUUCGGGUUGUAAACCGCUUUCGCCUGUGACGAAGCGUGAGUGACGGUAAUGGGUAAAUAAGCACCGGCUAACUACGUG
rnacentral:rRNA from 1 species